GUGUUUGCCUCGGUAGCACAUAUAUUAAAAUUGGAACAAUACAGACAAGAUUAGCAUGGUCCCUGUGCAAGGAUGACAUGCAAGUUCCCGAAGUGUUCUAUAUGUUU
rfam:Pteropus alecto contig144315, whole genome shotgun sequence.